GAAAGGCAAAGUCGACCUUGGCGGAAUUUGAACUCAGAACAUAGCAGCAGUCGAAAUAUGGCUACGCAUUUCGCCCAGCGUAAAAUAAGUACCAGUUGAGUACUGGGGUCAGUGUAAUUGUCUUGCCCUGUCUCCCGAUAUUUCUGGCCUUAUGCCUAUAGUAGAAAGAAUUUCUUCUUUGUAAUCAUUCAUCUUCUCUGUUAGUUAAUAAGUAACAGCUGGAUAUUGGGAUUGAGUGUAUGAAGUAUGAACCUUACAUUUUUUGUUAACUUUUCAAGCUAUUCUGCAUUGAUACAAAAAUUUAUGCUUAUAAUGAACCAAAGGUAAAUCAACAUGAAAAUAUCAACAUAUAACCACUAUAACAAUAGUAAUAAUAAGCUUUGUGCUUAUAUCAGAACUCAGUGAUAAUAAUAAUAAUGACAAUAAUUUCUCACAAGUAAUGAUUGUUUCUUGCAAUGUUUACAAGAAGGAAACAUGAUUCAGUAAUGUUCUUGUCUUCUUGCAAAAGCAUUAAUAGCCUAUUUGAACAAAAUGGUUCUAACUUUGAAAAAAUAUGGAUUUCAACUUAUUCGUCAGUUCUCACGUCUAAAAAAAUAUGUAUUUAUUAUUUAUUUUGUAACAAUUAGUCGUGGGAGUAAGGACAGUGCCUAAGACUUUAUUUAAUAGCUCACUCAAACUGAAAACAUUAAGGCAGUAAAUGGAAGCUUCAACCCUGGGGAAGAAUAGCUUGGGAAAAUGCUUAAUCAAGAAUCUGGGACAUAUAAAAUAUACCAUCAUCAUCAUCCUUUUUAUAUCUGCUUUCCAUGCUGGCAUGGGUUGAACAGGUUAUCAAUGUUUGUGUCAGCCCUUAUUUGGAGUUACUUCUCUCCAAGGAAUGACCAAAAACUAUGCUUCACUCAUUCAUUUUCAUUUGAGCAUUUCUAUUGGAUGCUUUAUUUAAUACCUAUUUCUUUAUUACCAACAAGGGGCUAAACACAGAGGGGACAAACAAGGACAGACAUAGUUAUUAAGUCGAUUACAUUGACCCCAGUGCGUAACUGGUGCUUAAUUUAUCGACCCCGAAAGGAUGAAAGGCAAAGUCGACCUUGGCGGAAUUUGAACUCACAGCGUAACGACAGACGAAAUACCGCUAAGCACUUCGCCCGGCAUGCUAACGUUUCUGCCAGCUUGCCGCCCUUACCAGACACUUUACUGAAUGUACCAGGUGCAUUUUUUCCUGGCACUAACACUAGAAAAGCUGUUAAGCUCUUGACAAGACAAGACUAUCUUCUUUGCUAUACAAUGUCUCCGUUGUUCAUCCACCACUUCACAGUUUUCUGAAUGUACUUUAUUGUAAUAUUUGUACUUGUACCAGGAUCUUCACUGCUCUACAUUGACUUGAAUGAGAGGGAGAGAAGGAAAGCAUUGACAAUAGGGGUGAGAAACUGGAGAGCUAGUGCUAGAGAAUAAUGAGUAGUAAUAAAGAAAAUUUGUAAAAAGGGAAAUAAAGAUGGCAUGGUGUAAAUGGCAGCUACAUAUUUGCCAGUCAAAAAUUAAGUGCAAGUGGUGAGAGUAACUGUUGGAAUUGUCAGCGAUAAGAGUGUGAUGGAUGUCAGUAAAAAGCAACAAAUGUUAGUAAUGAAAGCAUGGAUGAUUGUUGGCAAAAAUGGUAAUGGAAAUCAUGCCAAUUAAAGAGUGAUCUCAAGGACAAGGGGCAGUGGUUGUGGUGCUUUCUAUGAAUGCAAGAUGGAGUUUAUUUUAUUUAAAAAAUUGUUUUUAGAGAAUAUUUCCAAGCUUUCAUAUACGCAAAAAUCACAUGGUUUUUCAGAAUUGGGUCUAGCUCUGGUGAGGAUAUUCCACUAGAUGUUAUAAGGAAAAGAUUUACUUUUUAUGGCAUGGAUAUAUUUAGCUAGUGAUGUUUGGAUAGCUCUGUUGCAAUGUCUAAAGGAAUUGCUGUGCAAAUUAGAUUAUAUAUGAACAAGUUUGAAGUCAUACCAAUAUAGACUCUGGAUAAAGAUUUGUCAACAGUAAAUUUAUAGACUGUACUAGCUAAACAGUUCUUGUUGAGUGGUAAAUUAUUGAUGUUACUGAGAUUGCUGUUCUUGGUAGAAAGGUGUUCACUAGUUUAUUUAGCUUGUGUGCAUUAGAAGAAGCAAUAAUCUGUUUGAAAUUAGGCACAGGAUAAGUCGAAUAAGAAAUCUUUACUGUAUUUUUGUUGGAAAUUUUGCAUUACAGAUAUAUUUUAUUAACUUUGUCAUCUCCACUUUGUAUUAGAACAUUAAUAGUAAGUUGAGUUAUCAUUAAAGAUUUUUUUCAUUAGGAUAAAGGAUAAAAAAUUUUCCUGAGUCAUAGAGACUCAUGGUGCAUAUAUUUCUCCCCCUGUAUGGGAUGUCAAUCCAUCCCAGGAAAUACUCAUUUUUGAGUGGACUGAAACAACAUGAAAUGAAAUAUUUUACUCAAGAACACAAUGCAUCACUUAGUCCAAGAACUGAAACCAUAAUCUUACAAUCAUGAGUCCAACACCCUAACCACUAAGCCAUGUGCCUCCACCUUUUUUUUUCCUUAGCUAAAAGAUUAAAAACAUUCUAAAAUUUUUCUAGCUAAACUAGUUAUUGUGGAUCUAGGAUAAAUAGAUGUUUAUAUAUAUAUAUGUAAUAUAAAGUUUCGUUAUAUUUAUGAGAGGGGUAAUAAAAAUAAAAUUUUAAACUGUCAGAUCAAGGAACUUUUCAAUUUUAAUACUUUUUUCAAUGAUGAUACAUAAAUCAUAAUUU